GCCGCAGGUCAGCGACAGGAGACACCAGCCUCUCUCCUAAAGCGGGUGUCGCAGGUUCGAAUCCUGCCGGGGGCA
rnacentral:tRNA from 1 species